GGUGUAGUACAACGGCCAGUACAUCAGCCUUCCAAGCUGAGAACGUGGGUUCGAUUCCCCCUCCAGGGGCCA
rnacentral:tRNA from 1 species